ACGGGUGAGUAACGCGUGAGUAACCUGCCUUUCAGAGGGGGGAUAACGUUCUGGAAAAGAAACGCUAAUACCGCAUGAGACUACAGAGCUGCAUGGCUCAGUGGUCAAAGGAGCAAUCCGCUGAAAGAUGGACUCGCGUCCGAUUAGAUAGUAGGCGGGGUAACGGCCCACCUAGUCGACGAUCGGUAGCCGGACUGAGAGGUUGAACGGCCACAUUGGGACUGAGACACGGCCCAGACUCCUACGGGAGGCAGCAUG
rnacentral:rRNA from 1 species